rnacentral:rRNA from 1 species
AAAGAUGAAAAGAACUUUGAAAAGAGAGUCAAAUAGUACGUGAAAUUGUUGAAAGGGAAACGAUUAAAGUCAGUCAUGUUGGUGGGGAAUCAACUUGAUAGUAUGCGGGUUUACUCGUGUCCUUUCUAGUGCACUUCCUUACUUGCAGGUUAGCAUCAAUUUCGGUUAUCAUAUAAAAAUUGAGGGAAGGUGGCUUUUCUUCGGAAAAGUGUUAUAGACCUUGAGAAAUGUGGUGACCGGGAUUGAGGAUUGCAGCGGAUACCCAUUUGGGCUAGUCACCUGGCUUCUGAUGGUUGCCCCGUCUUCGAUAGCUUGCUAACGUUGGUGGGAUUCAAUUAUCUAGAUGUUGGAGUGAUCAUAAAUUCGCUAAGGGUGCUGACGUAAUGGCUUUAAACGACCCGUCUU